CCUACGGGAGGCAGCAGUGGGGAAUUUUGCGCAAUGGGCGAAAGCCUGACGCAGCAACGCCGCGUGCGGGAUGAAGGCCUUCGGGUUGUAAACCGCUUUCAGCAGGGAUGAAAUUGACAGUACCUGCAGAAGAAGCCCCGGCUAACUACGUGCCAGCAGCCGCGGUAAUACGUAGGGGGCAAGCGUUAUCCGGAUUCAUUGGGCGUAAAGAGCGCGUAGGCGGAUUGUUAAGCGCGAUGUGAAAACUGGGGGCUCAACCCGCAGCCUGCAUCGCGAACUGGCAGUCUUGAGUCUGGUAGAGGAGUGUGGAAUUCCCAGUGUAGCGGUGAAAUGCGCAGAUAUUGGGAGGAACACCGGUGGCGAAGGCGGCACUCUGGGCCACGACUGACGCUGAGGCGCGAAAGCUAGGGGAGCGAACAGGAUUAGAUACCCUGGUAGUCCUAGCCGUAAACGAUGGGCACUAGGUGUGGGGGGUAUAACUCCCUCCGUGCCGCNGCACGACAUAGUGCCCGCCGNGGGAGACGGCCGCGAGACGAAACUACGAAGGAAGUAGUUACGGCGUGAGACGUGCCGACGGCGACGACGAGGGAGGAGG
rnacentral:rRNA from 1 species